UAAAGAGCUACCCCGCUCAAAAAUGUACUCAGGUCAAGAGCUCCCGCCGUCGUAGGUUAAAGGACUACCCCGUUCAUACGGUAAAGAGCUACCCGCUCAAAGUCAAGAGAGUACCGCUCGGUAGGUUAAGAGCUACCCGCUCAUAGGCGUAAAGAGCUACCUCGCUCAAACGGUAAAGAUGCUACCCCGCUCAAAAUCUACAAGGAGAAGAGCAUACCCGCCUUCGCCCGACUCACUUCCCAGCCACAUGGUGGGAGCUACCCCGCUCGUUAUCCCACCCAUGAGCUACCCCGCUCGCUUGACAACUGAGGAUACCCUGUCAACUAGGUUAACCAUCCCUUGAUAUUCUACCUAUCCCUAGGUCCAUGUCAAAGUGUUUCAACCAUAUCAAAUCUCAAUGCACAUCACUAGGUCUAGCCAACUCUAGGUUCCACAACACUGGUUUAAUGUCAACUAUGUUAACAACAUUAUAUUAAUCCACUCGAUCUAUCCUAGGUCACGACACUAGGUUUAGAUGCCCACUUUCUCCAUAAUUAACAAUAGGUUAAACAUUCAUUUCAUCUAGCAUAUAUGUUCUAUAAGGCCAACUUGCAUCAUAUAAUGCUAAUAUGCCAUAAUCAACUAGCAUGCAAUCCAUUCAUAAUGCUACGUGCAUACAGUCUCCAUUACACUAGUUCACAUGUCACUAGUUUCAUUUCAAGUCCACAGUUCUUAUUUCUUUCUCAUUAUAGGAUCUCAUGUCUCAAACCUUAUCAUAUGCAUAUUCUAGAUUUAAGUGUCAAGUCUAUAAUACUAACAACUAGACAUGCACUCAAGGAAAGUAGAAAAUGUAACUAUACAUAAUCUAUAUAAUGCAUAAGAACCAAUAUAUGAAUAUGAUCAACUAUUAUCGGAGAUAGAAGGAAGCCCGAUUGCUUCGGAUAGACACCCCCAUUUUUACAGCCGUUCCGAUGCUCGUCGUCACUCGCAAUCGGCCUCCCGCGGCACACCGCUCGGCUUGACCCAAUCUGCGCCGACCCGAACGACCUCGAUCCGCGAUCCGAAAAUUAAAGGGUCUUCGGUUUCUUGUCACGAUGCUUCAAAUCCGUUUCCACGAUUUACGGACGUCGCCUCGCCCUCCAGCGGAAACGAAGUCUAAACGUCCGUUUCUUUAAUAACUUCGCACUUGCUCGACGAAUCGCCGAACGUCGCUUCCAACGCGUUUAGUGACCUAUCGAUAGGUUUACGGAGGGUCAAAUUAGAUCAAACCCUCAUAUUUGAAAAUUAACAUUUUGGAGCCUUAACAUGAAAUAACCUCCAAAUACUCCAAAUUAAAUGAGCAAUAUGCUACUAAUGACUAUUAGAGGCUACUAGAACUCUUAAAGCUAAGGAUUAAGCCAAAUCCCAAAAGCUUACCCAUUGUGAACGCCGCGACGAAAACACGCCGCUCCAACGGGCGCACGAAGCUCGAUCCGUCGCUCCCAACGCGUUCACAAGCAUUCUUCUCGCCAACGCUGCGAAUUUGAGCGAGAAAUAUAGAGAGAUGAGAGAGAUCUCUAGAGAGAGAAAGGCAGGGUUCUCUCCUCCCUUUCAUGCGUGCGUGGUGUGUGGCCAUGGAGGCGGUGGUCGGUUGAAGGAGAAGAAGCUGCAUGCUUCUAAUUAAAGUCAACACCAACACUAUUCACUCCAGGCAACUUUAAAAUCUGAUAUCUUUCGCCGGAGCUCCCUGAAUAUCCGUUUGAGCUCAAAUCUGACAGUCAUAUUCGGUUUUACUUAAAGAGUCCAAAGAAAUUUUAAUAUUUCAGUUUCGACCCGUUUGGUACCGAAAACUGUGCCGAACUGUAAUCUUUAUCAGAUGGCUUUCGGAUUUUAUUUCUCACUCUACGGGUAUCAGAAAAAUAUGAAACUUAAAAUCUAGCCUCAUUAAAUAUUUCUGACAUCCCCGCCAAUUUCAUAAUUUUCGAGACUGUGUAUUUUCUGCUAAUUUAUCUGCCCCGUUAUCAACAGAAAAAUCCAGAUUCUUCUGUUUUCAUCCCGAUUUCAGCACAAGUCACUUCUGAUUAUGUUUUACUUCUCUAGAUCAAUAAAAUGUAUUCUCAUACUAUUUUUUUUAUUUAUAUUUUAUCUUUUAUAUUUAAAUCCGGUAUAUUACAUUACACCGCAACCUUACCGGAACCAUUCAAAUGGCUCUCCAACCAAAUGGACACCGUAACCUCAUGAUUUUAGAAGUCGCGUACCUUACACUCUCCCCUCCUAUAAAGGAGUUUCGUCCCGAAACUCAAACCACGCCUCAAUUCGGCUCCUGAGCAAUUUAGGGCGCUAAUGCACUUUUCUAGUUCGGAAUGGCUUUACCUCUUUGCAACUAUCCAAGAGGCCAACACGGAGGGUACAAUACCCAACUCGUACAACUUUGCAAGGCGCAUCUCAGCAGGUGCAUUACGUUCUCGUUAUUCUGGCAGCAGCGCAAGUCGAGGUCAACGGCUCUACGCACUCCAAAGUCAUUCGCCAACUGGCCACUAAGGCCAAACCACCUCCCUCGAGAACGGGAUACCCGCUAUCCUCAUGGUGUGGAGCUAUCAAGAACGCACCAAUAGUCAUAUGGUCCACCAUCACGACACAGCACACACGGGUAAGCCCUCUCGAAUCACCCGAAUGUCAACAAAGCGGCGCUCCGCCACUUUGGCUAUCCAAGAGUUCGUAUUUUCUCAUUCACGGACUCUUCAUCACUUUCACCAUCCUCUAGGGGUCACAUCCAAUUGAUCACAUAUCGCCUAGAAGCAAUAUCAUUGGUGCAUCGACCCACUGGCGAGUGCUCCAAUCUUCAACCAGACCCUUGCUCUACCGCGGGAUGGCACGCUUCGGCAAUCUCCAACUCAGCCCUUAAAAGAGCAUUAUCUCAAGCUCCAAUUCACUUAGGGGCAUCAACUUCAAUCCUCUACCUCUCGUGGCUUCCAAUAGCUCAAUGUCUCACGCGAGCAGUAUAUCCUCGAAUACCAUAUGCCACGACCAUCACCAACUCGUUCGUGCAAACGAAUCCACAUGAACAUCGUUCGUCAUUCUAGGCCACGCCCAUCACUGAGGCUACUCGCUCAACCACUUCAUCAAAUCAUAGGUGAACACAGGUCACCAAUCCUAGACUGUCGCUUAAACCAGUCUCAACUACGCGUAGUGUCUCUCGCUCACCAGUGUAGACCAAUUAUCACUACUGGGCGAAAUUCUUAUUGGAGAAUUCGCACACACUUCAACCAGGAGCAACUAGACCUCAAAACACGUCGAAUCCUUGGGUUGGGUCACUACCACAGAGGUGUAACCUUGAUCUCAUGAUCCACGUGUGUCAUUCCACGCUCCGAGUCUCAGCUUGGACUACCGCCUGACCAAAAUUCUGCCCUACAUUGGGCCGCUGUCUCUCACAGCUGACUGUGCCUGCCCAAUGGGCCAGGCUCCACAGUCCACAAAUGGUCCAGGCACACGAUCGUCCCCAAGCACUACUCGCCGUCGUCGUCUUAUACGACAUACUCUAUUGAGUUACACGUACCAUUACCGACUCCUAAGUGCCUAAGCACCUAGUAUGAGCCACCAGCCCUCACGAGUGAUCGUGGCCGCUUCACACUUAGCCCUGUCGAAGUGCUACUGCAAUUCACUCGACCGGCUGAAUCGAAACCGCACUUCACGUAAUUACACUCGAGCGCUCUACACGCUCUACUGCGUUCCAACUAGGUCAGCAUUAGGCAACCUUGCUAUGCAUACCACUACACGAGCAUGGACUCGCUGACCUCAACUUGAGGUACUACUCGGCUAACGUUCUCGUAUUCGGCAACUAUACGGCUACUCUCUUCAACAGUGAUUCCACUACUAGCAAUUUGCUAGUACGUCUAGCCCUCCAUCUACUCCAGCAAGCGUUACACCCUCACGCGCAAGCAUGCUCGGGUAUUUAACAUUGUCCGUCACUUUGGUCCUUACUACAUCGAUGCAUCGACGAUAGCAAGCGACCACACGACGAAUGCAUGCAAGGUCCUUCGACAAGGUCGCGUACUCACGACAUCUCGCUUGCCCGCCGCGAGCCUCCGUCGUCACUUCCUCACACUCGUUCUCUAGACCACUCUGUAGACUUCACAUCACAAACUGUCUCGGAGAGGAAGAGCUACCUCCUACAACGCGACCCUGCAAUCGACCGCACGAAUGCCUAUCUCACCACGCAACGCACACUACCGUGCUCGGUGAGAACUCCCACAAUCCCGCAUCUCAACACCGUAGCGUCUUCGGGGACAUCAGUUCCUGAAACGCAAACAUUUGUGUUAAUCAUCUUAACCCGUUAACUCGCGCGAUUACGAGAUAAACGACUCAACAUCGCAAAUUAGGCGGAGCACAAAGUUACUCGUUCUAACUCUUAGUGUCAUGUUGCCGGCCGCAACACAACCACUUCAAGUCAAGAAUUAAUACCACUGGAAUCCGUCUCUAGUAACUACUAGAAACAUACUAUCAACAACUUCAACCCAAUCGAACAACUCCCGCCACAACGCAUAGGUCACGUCACUCACGCACCUAUAGCCUUAAGGUUUCCGUCCUAGGGUCUCCUAGGUCAAUCUAGACUCUCUCUUUGCUUGCUUUAACUCGCUCUGAUACCAUUUUAUCUGUCACGCCCGGGACCGCUACCAAUUUGGUACGAUCCGGGCGCGUCGAACAGACGCCGAACGGACAGCACUCCCCUGUCCGCCCAAGGCUAAACAACAGGAUCAUGUACAACAAGUUCCCAGGAAAUCAACUUGAAUACAUACAUGAUCAAAACAAUAGCGGCACAACCAGUGCGAACAUUACAAGAGCAAGCAUCACAAGCGUAAACAAGUGAAUAAAAGAGAGAAUAUAACUAUCUAUUACAUCACAUUUGACAUUCAACAUUUAAUACAAUUGGUUACAUUUAAGCUUCCAAAAUGAAUACAUAUCAUAUCACAUAUAUAUAAUGCUAGCUAUCCAAAAUACAUCAUUGUAUCUAUAACCAUGCACAGAGGGUGCUCUAGUACAAUAGGAAAGCUCUACUAGCUAGCUAGGGCGCUACGCCCUUACCGCGAUCUACUGCCGGUCCGCUCAGUGUGUACCUGUACCCCAAAACCACACGGGGUGAGAACUAUAAAAAUAUAGUUCCCAGUGGGUUCGGCCGCCGACUCCGCCGAUCUUCCCACUAGGUCUAAGCUGGCACAGAUAGAUAGAUAGAGAGAUAGAAAGAUAUUGAACUGCAACUAUGAUCUAUUGUGCCAUCAAAUGCAAGCAAUGCAUGAAAUAUCAACUAGCAAUAAGCUACUAUCAAUGAUAAUAUGCUUCAACGAUGUAAUGAAUACAAAUACGACAUAGUUAUGCAUUCCACUAACAUAUACUAUGUCUAAUCAGGGUAUGAAUGCAAAUCCACUUAUACUAUUCAUGUCAUUACCCAAAUCCACUAGGUACACCCGCCCUUGUCUCAAAUCACGUAGGUGAAGGACUACUCCGCCUUGUUUCACCGCCCACAACUCUAACACUAUAGGUAAAGAGCUACCCGCUCCUCGCCCAACUCAUAAACUCAAAUGCCUAAGGGCAUGAGCUACCCCGACUCUUCGCUCCGACUCUAACUCAAAUCACAUAGGUCAAGAGCUACCCCGCUCAUAGGUCAAGACGCUACCCCGCGUCGUAGGUAAAGAGCUACCCCCCGCUCAUAGAGUAAAGAGCUACCCGCUCAUAGGUAAAGAGCUACCCCGCUCAAGGUCAAUAGUCCCGCUCAUAGGUAAAGAGCUACCCCGCUCAGUAGGUAGGGUAAAGAGCUAACCCGCUCAUAGGUAAGAGUACGCCCGCUCAUCAAGCGUCAAGAGCUACCCCGCUCGUAGGUAAAGAGCUACCCCGCUCAUAGGUAAAGAGCUACCUCGCUCAAAGGUAAAGAGCUACCCCGCUCAAAUCUCACAGGAGAAGAGCUACCCCGCCCUUCGCCCGACUCACUUCCCAGUCCAAUGGGUGGGGAGCUACCCCGCUCGUAUCCCACCCAAUGAGCUACCCCGCUCGUGUGACAACUGAGGAUACCCUGUCAACUAGGUUAACCAUCACUUGAUAUUCUACCUAUCCCUAGGUCCAUGUCAAGUGUUUCAACCAUAUCAAAUCUCAAUGCCACUCACCUAGGUCUAAGCAACUCUAGGUUCCACAACACUAGGUUUAAUGUCAACCUAUGUUUAACAACAUUAUAUUAAUGCCACUCGAUCUAUCCUAGGUUCACGACACUAGGUUUAGAUGCCACAUAAUCUCCAUAAUUAACAAUAGGUUAACAUUCAUUUCAUCUAGCAUAUAUGUUCUAUAAGGCCAACAUGCAUCAUAAUGCUAAUAUGCCAUAAUCAACUAGCAUGCAAUCCAUUCAUAAUGCUACGUGCAUACAAUCUCCAUUACACUAGUUCACAUGUCACUAGUUUCAUUGUCAAGUCCAAGUUCUUUAUUCUCUUAUCAUCAUAGGAUCUCAUGUCUCAACCUUAAUCAUCAUGCAUUCUAGAUUUAAGUGUCAAGUCUAUAAUACUACACAACUAGACAUGCAUUCAAGGAAAGUAGAAAUGUAACUAUACAUAUAUCCUAUAAUGCAUAAGAACCAUAUAUAUGAAAUAUGAUCAACUAUUUUACUCGGAGAUAGAAGGAAGCCCGAUUGCUUCGGAUAGACACCCCCCACCUUUUUACAGCGUUCCGAUUGCUCGUCGUCACUCGCAAUCGGCCUCCCGCGGCACACGCCGCUCGGCUUGACCCAAUCUGCGCGCGACCACCGAACGACCUCCGAUCCGCGAUCCGAAAAUUAAAGGUCUUCGGUUUCUUGUCACGAUGCUUCAAAUCCGUUUCCACGAUUUUACGACGUCGCCUCGGCCCUCCAGGCGGAAACGAAGUCUAAACGUCCGUUUCUUUAAUAACUUCGCACUGGCUCGACGAAUCGCCGAACCGUCGCUUCCAACGCGUUUAGUGACCUAUCGAUUAGGUUUACGGAGGGUCAAAUUAGAUCAAACCCUCAUAUUUUGAAAAUUAACAUUUUGGAGCCUUAACAUGAAAUAACCUCCAAAUACUCCAAAUUAAAUGGAGCAAUAUGCUACUAAUGACUAUUAGAGGCUACUAGAACUCUUAAAGCUAAGGAUUAAGCCAAAUCCCAAAAGCUUACCCCAUUGUGAACGCCGCGACGAAAACACGCCGCUCCAACGGGCGCACGAAAGCUCGAUCCGUCGCUCCCAACGCGUUCACAAGCAUCUUCUCCGCCAACGCUGCGAAUUUGAGCGAGAAAUAUAGAGAGAUGAGAGAGAUCUCUAGAGAGAGAAAGGAGGGUUUCUCUCCCCCUUUCAUGCGUGCGUGUGUGUGGCCAUGGAGGCGGUGGUCGGUUGAAGGAGAAGAAGCUGAUGCUUCUAAUUAAAGUCAACACCAACACUAUUCACUCCAGGCAACUUAAAAUCUGAUAUCUUUCGCCGGAGCUCCCUGAAUAUCCGUUUGAGCUCAAAUCUGACAGUCAUAUUCGGUUUUACUUAAAGAGUCCAAAGAAAUUUUAAUAUUUCAGUUUCGACCCCGUUUGGUCACCGAAAACUGUGCCGAACUGUAAUCUUUAUCAGAUGGCUUUCGGAUUUUAUUUCUCACUCUACGGGUAUCAGAAAAAUAUGAAACUUAAAAUCUAGCCUCAUUAAAAUAUUUCUGACAUCCCCGCCAAUUUUCAUAAUUUUCUGAGACUGUGUAUUUUCUGCUAAUUUAUCUGCCCCGUUAUCAACAGAAAAAUCCAGAUCUUCUGUUUUCAUCCCGAUUUCAGCACAAGUCACUUCUGACUUAUGUUUUACUUCUCUAGAUCCAAUAAAAUAGUAUCUCAUNUGCUAAUUUAUCUGCCCCGUUAUCAACAGAAAAAUCCAGAUCUUCUGUUUUCAUCCCGAUUUCAGCACAAGUCACUUCUGACUUAUGUUUUACUUCUCUAGAUCCAAUAAAAUAGUAUCUCAUACUAUUUUUUUUAUUUAUAUUUUAUCUUUAUAUUUAAAUCCGGUAUAUUACAUUACACCGCAACCUUACCGGAACCAUUCAAAUGGCUCUCCAACCAAAUGGACACCGUAACCUCAUGAUUUUAGAAGUCCGGUACCUUACAACUGAAGUCCCUUCAGAACCAAUACUAAACCCUAGUAUAGAUAACACAGAAGAGAGACGAGAUGACCCCAUGAUACUAGAAGCAUCUUCUCCCAAACUAAAAAAUAUAGGGAAAAAACUUGAUUUUAAACUUCAUGCUAGUACCAUCCAUUUUCCUUUUAACAGAAAUCCCUAGACAUAGAUAAUGUAUAAAAAUAGGUAUAAGACAAAAUUAGGGUAUAGGACAUGAAAUGAAAACCUUUGUCUCACAGAUCAAAAUUAAACAUCCUAGUGUUAGUAGAUGUCUGAAUUAAUCUUCAUAUUGGACUUUAUAUUGUUCCCACAUACCUUUAAUAGAUUCACCUAGAAAUGUUUCUAAGUAUUUAUACAUUUCUUCUGUAUUGUCAGUAUUCAUGUAGUGCUGAUUUCUAAUAUAGUCUGCAACUACUAAUCCUUUCCAAAUGUCUAUUAUAGAGUCCCAAGUUUGGGGGUCAUGAGCGGCUAUAUUUAGUAUUUCCAGGGUGCAGUAGUGCAAAAGAAAUAUUUACAGGAAAAGAAGGGAAAGAAA
rnacentral:lncRNA from 1 species